GCUCAGGAUGAACGCUGGCGGCGUGCUUAACACAUGCAAGUCGAACGAAGCACCUUAUUCUGAUUUCUUCGGAAUGAAAAAUUCGGUGACUGAGUGGCGGACGGGUGAGUAACGCGUGGGUAACCUGCCUCAUACAGGGGGAUAACAGUUAGAAAUGACUGCUAAUACCGCAUAAGACCACAGCACCGCAUGGUGCAGGGGUAAAAACUCCGGUGGUAUGAGAUGGACCCGCGUCUGAUUAGGUAGUUGGUGGGGUAGCGGCCUACCAAGCCGACGAUCAGUAGCCGACCUGAGAGGGUGACCGGCCACAUUGGGACUGAGACACGGCCCAAACUCCUACGGGAGGCAGCAGUA
rnacentral:rRNA from 1 species